rnacentral:lncRNA from 1 species
CCUUUCAAUAAUAGUAUCAACAUUUGCUUUGCUUUUAGGACUAUGAAUGAGAACUCUUAUAACUGUGACUGCAAUUCGAUAUCAGAGUCAUCAAAAUUGUCCAUUAUAGUGAUUACCUGAAUCGUGAUUACCUGAAUAAUACAAGCUUGAACAAGUCAGAAUCAAAGAACAACCAAACCAGAUCAAGUGAAUCAAGCAAUGCAGAUGAAGCAUAUUCAUAUAUAAACUGUAUGUUCAGCCGUAGGCAAGUCCAAUUAACUUAGAAUGAAUGAAUUAUUAAAAAUUUUAUUGAAAACAGUAUAUAUAUAUAUAUAUAUAUAUAAACAAAAAAAAGAGUUUAAAUGAACAGUUUGAAUCAACAGAAAAGAAAAGCUAUGAUAAUUUUGAAGACUUUCAUGCCUAGAUAAAUUAAGUUGAAAAAAUAUAAUUUCAAGGCAAAGUAUUUCAAAGAUUACUACAAAGCAUAUCCUGUAACAACAAAUGCUUCAUCUAAAACAGUAAAUCAAAAUAAUAAAGCACCAAACUUGUAUACUGCCCACCAUUAUAAGUCACUAAAAGCAAGAAAAACAAAAAUGACUUAAUUCACGGAAUUCACGAAUGUUAACAUCAGACAUGAGUUUAAAACUUUUCCUUCGGAAGGAUGUUCAAAACUAGAAUCCACAAUAGAUCGAAGCAGCUCUGGUUUCAGCAGAAAGCCCCUGAAUCCCGAACUAUGAAUUCCAACAUACCCC